rnacentral:rRNA from 1 species
GGGUAACUCCGUGACAGAAUCCGCGUUAAUACGGAGGAUCCAAUGCUUAUCCGGCAUCAUUGGGUUUAAAGGUUCCGUAGGAGGCCUUAUAAGUCAGCGGUGAAAGUUUUUGGCUUCACCAAAAAAUUGCCAUUGAUACUGUAGGGCUUGAAUAUUUGUGAAGUAACUAUAAUAUGUAGUGUAGCGGUGAAAUGCUUAGAUAUUACAUGGAAUACCAAUUGCGAAGGCAGGUUACUAACAAAUGAUUGACGCUGAUGGACGAAAGCGUGGGUAGCGAACAGGAUUAGAUACCCAGUAGUC